rnacentral:rRNA from 1 species
CCUACGGGAGGCAGCAGUAAGGAAUAUUGGUCAAUGGACGACAAGUCUGAACCAGCCAUGCCGCGUGAAGGAUUAAGGUCCUCUGGAUUGUAAACUUCUUUUAUUUUGGGACGAAAAAGGGCCUUUCUAGGUCAACUGACGGUACCAGAUGAAUAAGCACCGGCUAACUCCGUGCCAGCAGCCGCGGUAAUACGGAGGGUGCAAGCGUUAUCCGGAUUCACUGGGUUUAAAGGGUGCGUAGGCGGGUAGGUAAGUCAGUGGUGAAAUCCUGGAGCUCAACUCCAGAACUGCCAUUGAUACUAUUUAUCUUGAAUAUUGUGGAGGUAAGCGGAAUAUGUCAUGUAGCGGUGAAAUGCUUAGAUAUGACAUAGAACACCUAUUGCGAAGGCAGCUUACUACGCAUAUAUUGACGCUGAGGCACGAAAGCGUGGGGAUCAAACAGGAUUAGAUACCCUGGUAGUCCACGCCCUAAACUAUGAUUACUCGACAUUUGUGAUACACAAUAAGUGUCUGAGCGAAAGCAUUAAGUAAUCCACCUGGGAAGUACGUCCGCAAGGAUGAAACUUAAAGGAAAUUGACGGCUGAGAGAGCGACGACGACACGAGGGAGGAGG